rnacentral:lncRNA from 1 species
GCAUUUAAUUAUCUGAUUGUGAUUCUCAUCCUUCUCUGAUCUCCAGUGUUCUAGAAAACCUGCAGGAUAGUCAUGGAGCCUCUGCCAUGGCAGCAAAGCAGCAUAAAAUCCUCAUGGAGCUGAAACAGGAGCAGGCAGAAAUCCAGCACCUGCAAAACAUCUACAGGGCAGCCCAUCAAGAAAGAAAGCUUUUGUUAAAGCAGCAAAGAGAAAUCUUAAUGAUGCAGCAUUCAACAGCACAACUCCAGGAAAAGCUGCACAAUUUGUCUGGGAAGCAAGAGGUUGUGAAAUCACAGUCACUGGAUGUCCUGGUGGGUUUUGGGUGGAUAAGAGCUGAAGCCAGAGCUGAUCCUACAGCUGAGGAGCACAGGUAAAACCUUCUGUUAUCUUUUCCUUUUAGGUUGUGAGGAACUCAGCAACUGAAGAAGCAAUAAAACUGAAGAAAAUGAAGCUUAUUUCUGGCCCAAAGUCCUCCUCCUCUUCAGCAGAGUCUGCAGCCCCUCCAGAAAGGCCUGAGCUGUCAGGGAGUAAAGAGAGUUGUCUCCAGCUAAAGCAUAAAGAGAAGGAACACGAGGGCUUUUCUGCUGAGAACAAGGGAACACUGGGACAACACCAGGAACAGGCAGAGGAGUCUCCAGGUUUGGAGCAGUCCCUUAGUGUGAAAAUGUCUGGAAUGGUGGCCAAGAGAGUGUGUGGUGCUGCUGGUGAGACCACAGGCUCAGUCUUUAGCCAUAAAGACUGCAAAAACACAGGUACCCAUUACAGAAUUCUGCAGCAAACCAUGUCUGUGACUACCUACUCAUUUUAGGGCAAAAGUUGAAGUCUCAGCUGCUCUUUGGAGCUCUCCUUCAGAAGAGGACUUUGAGCUAAUUAGCCCCUGAGAGAGAACUUGGGGUGUUGAGAUGUUCCUUGGUUGCCUCCAGUGUGAGUUUUGGUGCCAGGAUCUGCUUGGGAUUAGCAAGAAUGAGUAGGAAAGGUGUAAGUUGCUUUGUUGAGGCAGCAGCUGUGCAUAGACAAAGAAUUUGGCUUUCCAGUUGCUGCCAUGAAAGUGGGUGAUACUUAAGGUGAUGAUAGAUAAAGUCACUGGUCCUUUCAGCUGCUGGUGGUGUGACUAGGAAUGUGUAGGGCAAUGGUUACUCAAAUUAUAAAUGACUUGAAAUAAGACUGAGCUAAACAAAAAGCCAAAGUAAAGUUAUUGAUAUGAAAAACUAGCACUGGAAACAUGGUAAUUUAAUGUUGUACCUUUCAGAACUUAUCGCUCAGGGUAAGGUUUUAUUACCUCUGGAACAUGUAAAUUCAGCUAAAAUGGACAAACCUAUAUCUACACCAAUCAUGAGAGAAGGCAGGAAGUGUGCACUUCAGGUAAGGAUGCCUCUGGAAUUCCAUUAAUGCCUAAGGAAACAGUGCCCUGGGUUAUAUUUGCCUUAAGGCAGGACCAGCCCAAGGCUCAUUUGGCAGUUAUGACAUUAAGUAAAAAUCAGUCUGAUGUGUUGGUUACAUUCACUUCAACUCAACACUAAAUUUUGGCCUGGGCUGGUUCA